GACGAACGCUGGCGGCGUGCCUAAUACAUGCAAGUCGAACGCACUCUCGUUUAGAUUGAAGGAGCUUGCUCCUGAUUGAUAAACAUUUGAGUGAGUGGCGGACGGGUGAGUAACACGUGGGUAACCUGCCCUAAAGUGGGGGAUAACAUUUGGAAACAGAUGCUAAUACCGCAUAAAACCUAACACCGCAUGGUGUAGGGUUGAAAGAUGGUUUCGGCUAUCACUUUAGGAUGGACCCGCGGUGCAUUAGUUAGUUGGUGAGGUAAAGGCUCACCAAGACCGUGAUGCAUAGCCGACCUGAGAGGGUAAUCGGCCACACUGGGACUGAGACACGGCCCAGACUCCUACGGGAGGCAGCAGUAGGGAAUCUUCCACAAUGGACGAAAGUCUGAUGGAGCAACGCCGCGUGAGUGAAGAAGGUUUUCGGAUCGUAAAACUCUGUUAGUUGGAGAAGAAUGUAUCUGAUAGUAACUGAUCAGGUAGUGACGUAUCCAACCAGAAAG
rnacentral:rRNA from 1 species